CUCAUCACCUUCUAUUAACUGUUGCACACCCACAUAGCCUAAUAAAUUAAUGUAGUCAUUAGUAAUAUCUAUCCAAGAUAAGAGAUCAUAAUCAUAACCUUCCCUUUGUGAACAAGUUUCCUCUCAUAGAGCAAUUUAGGCUCUCUUAUCCAUUUCCCACCAUAGUGAAAUACUAGAUCAACCAAAACCAUUUUAGGCAA
rnacentral:lncRNA from 1 species